rnacentral:rRNA from 1 species
GAGGAAUAUUGCGCAAUGGAGGCAACUCUGACGCAGCCAUGCCGCGUGCAGGAAGACGGUCCUAUGGAUUGUAAACUGCUUUUAUACGGGAAUAAUCCCCCGCACGUGUGCGGGGUUGAAUGUACCGUAAGAAUAAGCAUCGGCUAACUCCGUGCCAGCAGCCGCGGUAAUACGGAGGAUGCAAGCGUUAUCCGGAUUUAUUGGGUUUAAAGGGUGCGUAGGCGGGGCUAUAAGUCAGUGGUGAAAUCUUGCAGCUUAACUGUAAAAUUGCCAUUGAUACUGUAGUUCUUGAGUACAAUUGAGGUAGGCGGAAUGUGUAAUGUAGCGGUGAAAUGCUUAGAUAUUACACAGAACACCGAUUGCGUAGGCAGCUUACUAAGUUGUAACUGACGCUGAGGCACGAAAGCGUGGGUAGCGAAC